GGCGAACGCUGGCGGCGUGCCUAAUACAUGCAAGUAGAACGCUGAAGGAGGAGCUUGCUUCUCCGGAUGAGUUGCGAACGGGUGAGUAACGCGUAGGUAACCUGCCUGGUAGCGGGGGAUAACUAUUGGAAACGAUAGCUAAUACCGCAUAACAGUAGAUGUUGCAUGACAUUUGCUUAAAAGGUGCAAUUGCAUCACUACCAGAUGGACCUGCGUUGUAUUAGCUAGUUGGUGAGGUAACGGCUCACCAAGGCGACGAUACAUAGCCGACCUGAGAGGGUGAUCGGCCACACUGGGACUGAGACACGGCCCAGACUCCUACGGGAGGCAGCAGUAGGGAAUCUUCGGCAAUGGACGGAAGUCUGACCGAGCAACGCCGCGUGAGUGAAGAAGGUUUUCGGAUCGUAAAGCUCUGUUGUAAGAGAAGAACGAGUGUGAGAGUGGAAAGUUCACACUGUGACGGUAUCUGACCAGAAAGGGACGGCUAACUACGUG
rnacentral:rRNA from 1 species